rnacentral:misc_RNA from 1 species
UCUCCGUAGGUGAACCUGCGGAGGGAUCAUUACAGAGUUCUCGCCCUCGCGGGUAGAUCUCCCACCCACUGUUAUCGUUACUGUGUUGCUUUGGCGAGCCGCCGGGCCCCGCUCGGCCGCCGGCUCCGGCUGGCGCCCGCCCGCCAGAGGCCCAGCAAACUCUGAAUGUUAGUUUCGUCUGAGUACUAUAUAAUAGUUAAAACUUUCAACAACGGAUCUCUUGGUUCUG